rnacentral:rRNA from 1 species
AGCCAUGCGAGUCGAGAGGUGCAAGACCUCGGCGAACUGCUCAGUAACACGUGGACAAUCUGCCCUGAAGAAGAGAAUAAUCCCGGGAAACUGGGGGUAAUGCUCUAUAGUCCGGGGAAACUGGAAUGUUUCCCGGAUGAAAGAUCCGUCGCUUCAGGAUGAGUCUGCGGCCGAUUAGGUAGUUGUUGGGGUAAAAGCCCAACAAGCCCGUAAUCGGUACGGGUUGUGGGAGCAAGAGCCCGGAGAUGGAUUCUGAGACACGAAUCCAGGCCCUACGGGGCGCAGCAGGCGCGAAAACUUUACAAUGCGGGCAACCGUGAUAAGGAAACCCCGAGUGCCAGCACAGGCUGGCUGUCCGCCAGUGUAAAAAACUGGUGAAGAAAGGGCCGGGCAAGACCGGUGCCAGCCGCCGCGGUAAUACCGGCGGCUCGAGUGGUGGCCACUAUUACUGGGCUUAAAGCGUCCGUAGCUGGUCUGUUAAGUCUCUGGGGAAAUCUUCCGGCUUAACCGGAAGGCGUCUCAGGGAUACUGGCGGACUAGGGACCGGGAGAGGUGAGAGGUACUCCAGGGGUAGGAGUGAAAUCCUGUAAUCCUUGGGGGACCACCUGUGGCGAAGGCGUCUCACCAGAACGGCUCCGACAGUGAGGGACGAAAGCUGGGGGAGCAAACCGGAUUAGAUACCCGGGUAGUCCCAGCUGUAAACGAUGCGCGUUAGGUGUAUCGGUGACCACGAGUCACCGAGGUGCCGAAGAGAAAUCGUGAAACGUGCCGCCUGGGAAGUACGGUCGCAAGGCUGAAACUUAAAGGAAUUGGCGGGGGAGCACCACAAGGGGUGAAGCCUGCGGUUCAAUUGGAGUCAACGCCGGAAAG